GGAGCUCUCUGGCCCCGCCCCUCCCUCAGACAUGCACGCUGUACUGUAGUCUCGCAAUUCCUCCACACGUCUCUGUUUAUGUUAUAUUUUAGAAAAACGGAGCAUUGUGCAGGAAGUGAGACUUGAGCUCAACGCGACACUGACGCAGGAACAACCUCCGACACCGGUUUUACCCGCUGGCCUCUCCUGAAGGUACGUUGUCCCGUGUGUUGCUCCUUUCCCCUUGUUUAGCAGGUAAUUAUAGUCAUUAGCAUCCAUCUUGGUAGAAGCUAAUUAAACCACUGCAAGGAGAAAUGGUUGUCCCUUUAGCCUGCUAAACAUUAGCCUGCACGUUAUCUUUAUAUGCUGUGGGGUUUAUAACGCAUGACAUGUUUAAAUGUAAGGAUGUAAUACCUUAAUAUUCAUGCAACAUCUUAAUAUUCCUGCAGUAAAUCAAUAGAUUUAAAGAUAAAAGGCAUGCAGACUUUGCCAUUGUAUUAUCGCACUUAAUUAAUCGUUUUUACCUUAUGUGCUAACAAUGAAAAUGUUAAAUUCCUCCAUAGUUCACCUGAUUGUGUCAGGUGUGGAGGCCGGAUUAAUCACUGCAGCAUGGUGUGUUUACGUGCUGCAGCUUGCACAUGUUAAACAAUAGUAGAGUCCGUCACCAUCUCUAUGCGUGAACAAGUAGAUACACUAUUUUACUUUAGUCUGUUCUGCUGUUUGCAAUAUUGCAUCCAGGUAUCGAGCACCUGAACGCACCACCUCUUGUUUCUAUACUCUGCAGCCAGUAACCAUAUAAGGUAAACAAGUACAAUAGGGGUAAAAGUGCACAUGCAUAACUCUGUGUCAGCAAUUAAUGUUGCUUAUUAUUAGGAAAUCAUAAAGUAAUUCAGAAGAUAAGGGUGGGUAUAAUAAUAAAUGCUGUUGCAUUAUGGGAAAUGAAGGAUCCAGAGUAUUUGGAGCCUAAGGGACUAAAUGUUAGGAUAUAUUGGCAUCUGUUGCUUUGAUUUUGACCCAACCAUCGAUAGAAAGUAAUGUUGACAAGUCACAAUCAGGUUUAAUACCCACUUUCUCACUUUAUUACUUUAUACAUUUUUACACCUAUAUAUGCAUAAACAUGUUUAUUCUCCCCUGACUGGCAACUGGUACCCACAAAUAAAUAUAAUUAACUCUUCAAAGUGUUUCUAAUUACAGGGUGCACGUCUCCACAUGCUGCAACUUCUGAUACAGAAGCAGCUGUUUGGUUUAUGUGAAUUAUCCUGUGAGGAUUGCUUCAAGAGAUAUUUGUAUUUUACAGUGUAGGAGACGCACAAAGAGAAAUGUAUUAUCUCAGGAUAAACCCAUUGAGAUGUAUCUUCUCGUUUUCUAGAGGGUCCCAAACAAACACUCACCAAACAAAUGGAAAACACAACAAUGCAAUAAACAAUAUCAAACAACACAGUAACAAUGACUAAACAAACAACCUGCAAAUGUUCAAACAAACUAAAUAAUAGGACAAAAGAGUGCAACCAUAGACGUAAUCAAAAUAAAAAGAAUGAUGUAUAAAUAUAUGAACAGUAAUAGCAUGACUAUAACAUGGACAAUUUGUUUUAAGAUGAGAAAAUAAAUUUUAAAUUUUAAAAUAAUGUUGAAAGAACAUUAAGAAAUUAAAAUAAAAUUCUGAAGCCUGGUUCUAAAUUAAAUUCAUAAAAACUUUGGUUCCCUGCUCAUAUUUAAUGAAUGACUGACUAAUGCAUGAUUCAUCCCGUUCUAAUGAAUGCACUUCUGCUUCAUAAGUCAUGAACUCAUGUGGCUCAGGAUUAAUAAAUGAUUCAGUUUUGUCUUUCGUUUAUUAAGUUAUUCCGUUCAAAAGGUGAAAGCUUUGAAAGCUGCAGAAAUAAAAGGAGUGUUAGUCCGUCAUUAAGGAACCGUUCACCACUUUAACCGGAGGGUCACACCGGACUAUGUCAUGGAAACACAGCUAAUGACGAUUAUAACAUUCAACAGAUGUGUUUAUUUAAAUGCAGGAGGACAUGAACAUGCUGAAUAUGAAUUAUGUUAUAAAACCUCUCAGUCCCUGCAUUAAUUAAUGUAUUCUUGUGUUCAUAUACGUGCAUUAGUCGCUGUUAAUUCAUAUGCAUUUCUCAUAAAGUCUUAAACUAGAGCCUUUAUAAUCAAAAGCAUUGCUAUUUUACAUUUUUAUGAAUGUAAUUUUUGCACACAAGUAUAUAAAAAAUCUAUAUCUUUUAAUGGAAUUCUCAGAAGAUAAAAGAUAUCAGCUUUCAUUGUUUGUCUCUACAUUGCAGCCAUAACACUUUAAAAACCUUACUUAACAACAACACACGUUUGUAUCACUGAGUCAGGAAAACAGAGCUACAUAACUUGUGAGGGUCACAAACUUUUAAAAUAAUGGAGGACUUAUCAAGUAGUUAUGACUUCCGUAUCUCACUAUUUGGACUUUCUAUCUCAUACUUAUGAGGAAAGUAUCUCUAAAUGAGUCCCUGUGUCCGUUUAGGAGUCGAUCUGAAAUGCAGCUGGCUUUGUGGUGUUGCACUGUCUUCUGUAACCCGUCACAUUCUGUUCCCUGUAAAAGAGUUUCUCCUGUGUUGUAACUGUUACUUUAUACUUUGUCAUAAUCUUAAAUUUGACAGGUAGGCCUUUUAGCAGAAAUGGUGAAUUAUGAUUUCUGUUAACCAAGAACUGUGACCCACGAUACUCACACACACUAAGUUAUUCUCCUCAGUCGAGAUACUACGGCACCGCCAUGUUUUGUAACAGCUGUCCAAACAAAGCAUGAAUAUAUGUAUGAUAAUACAUGAUAUCUUGGACCAGUGGAUCUGAAAAACAAACCUCUCCAGCAGCAGAACAACAUCUUGUCUUAAAGUAUCGACUAUAUAUUCAUCUCUUGAUGCUCCAUAGCACGAUGAAUAAUCACACUGCCUCUAUUAUUCUAAUAUCCAGUCACAGCAGUUCACGUAACAAGAGGCAUUCAAUCAUAACGCAGUAAUUCAAGAGUUAAAUAUAUUCCUACAUAGGCAUGACUCAUGCAUUAAAGCUCGAUGAGUCAUGUUUUAGUUCUACAGCUCUAUAAUUUUGAUAUCGCAUCUUAUAAUUACAAGAUCCGUAUUUCAUAAAAGAGAUCUUUAUCUCUUAAUUAUAAGAUUCAGAUCUCAUAAUUACGAGAUGUGUAUCUAUAAAUGUCUUCCUAUGAGAUGUUUGGCGUUAAGUAAGUUUUGCUUUCUGAAUCAUUUUCAUUUGUUUUUACAUAAUUGAUUUGUUGUUUUCAUGUACAGUAGUUAUUUCCUAAUAUAUAGUGUCAAAGUAUAUUUUUAUGGGUAUUAUUUUCACAGUAUUCUUUCCUACUAUAUGUAGUAUUCAAAAUAUGCUGGCCAGUAAAAGACCAGUAAUUUCUUUGUCAGAACAAUUAAGUUGUUUAGGUUUUAGUGUUGAUCUAGCAGCUUUUAUUAGACUGCUUUACACAAGUUUAGUAUCUUAUAAUAUAAGUAUUUUUAUCUAAAGGGGACAUUGUCAAUGCCUUGCUCUCGGAUAUAAAAUCUGAUUGUAACUCCCCUCUGGUCCUCUCUCAGGCGUGGAGCGAUGGCGUCCGUGUGGCAGCAGGAGCCCUCGGGUUAUUCCCCCUGCGUGGAGAUCGACUCCAGCUCCGUGAGGUGCAAAGACAGACUCACGUCUCCGGUCUGGCUGAAGCAGGAACAAGACGACCUGCGCAUCAUCAAGUGGGAGAACUUUCAAUCUGGAGCCUCAGCCGACGCCGUUCAGGACAACACGCCCAGCAGCGCCAUGUCGGCUGCCUCACAUGUAGACAGCCUGCCCCCGCGGGUGCUGCUGACCAUCACCAAGCUGCAGUGCAUGCUGGAGAGCAAACAGGAGCGCAUCGCCGCUCUGGAGAGACAGGUGGAGGACCUGAUGCAGGACCGCAAGUUCCUGAGAAGCCAGAUUGAAAACCUCACGUGCAACCGAGCCAUGCCCACCUUUGCGUCGCCCAGUCCGCUCACUGAAGCUCCAAAACCCAGCAAAGCGCAGCACUCGGAGAACAGAUCCCGGAAGAGAGAAAGAGCUUCUUCUUGUUCCUCCGACAGCAGCGACAACGGCUCCGAAGCGUCGGGAUCAUCGGAGGUUUCAGUGGCCUCGAGUGAACACAGACGGAAGAAACACCACAAGGACAAGAAGAGAUCAAAGAAAGGGAAGGACUACAGCAGGAAGAGAGCCACGGGUGUCCAGUACGUCAUCCACCGCUACAAACAAGUCCUGUCAGCCUUCAUCAAGAAGAAAAGCAUGAGCGAAGCCUUCCGCCACCUGGGAAUCGACCGGAACACCAUCGCCAACACGGCCUCCAUCGCCGAGCUCCAUCUGGCCGGCAAAGACAUGGUCCCCCUGGUGGGCUUGUUUCGCCAAGGAGAAGAGACUCUGGUGAGCUACGCGCAGAGGUGCACCUUGGUCAUCGACAGCGACGUCGACCUGUCCCGGAAAAUAGACCAUAUGAAAGCUAACGGCGAGCUGCUGCCCAUCUCAGGGAAAAGGCCCAGGGUGCUGCAUUCUCACCUGCAGCAGCUGGGGGGCGCUGCAGAGAGCAUUUUAAUAGGUUGACGAUCAUUUCACUGCAUGGAGGAGGGGUGGAACAUAAUGUCUUCACACAAAAAUAUGUUUUGUUUUGUUUUUACACCAACUUGAACUGCUGGAUUUAAAUGUUUUAUGUGACAUUUCUGCAUUUCUUUAAAAAGUGAAUGCCUCAAAGGGGAACAAAAAUGUUAAUUAUUUCCAGUUUAUGCAUCUCAGUAUCCACAUAUCCACAUUCAGGAUGUAUAUUUUGUACUUGAUAGCCAGAAGAGAUGAUUAAUAGCUGCUGUCACCAACAUGUUCUUAUUAUUUAACAGCAGAGGAGCAUGUAGUGUUAGAAACACCCACAAGAUGGCACUCAUAUAUUAUAUUAUGUUUACAGAUCACUCCUCUUGUCAUUUUACUCCAAAAUGGUGGAUAGUCAAUUUCCAUUUCCCAGCACCUUGCUCUAUGUUGGAAGUGUAACUUUCCGUUCAUAGAAAAUGGUUUUCCAGACACUUUCCUGUGAUUCAUGAAGCUGUAAUUGAAGCGAGCGUUAAUGUUUCUGAACUGCCGACAAAUGAAAACACUGUUGAGUGAGUCGUGUUGCUUCUCUGUUCAUCAGGUGUUUUCACGUGAUGUUACCGUUCGUGACCUUUUAUGGAAUAUGAAACCUUUCAGAGAGAGGGGUCACAGGUCAAAGGAGUCCGACAGUGAAACAUCUGCAUCGCAUCAACACCCAAAACGUGUCGUUUCUGUCUUCUGUGAGCCGACGUGUGAUUGACAAAAUGCGAUGCAGCACAAGUGUUUAUGAAAUGAUUCUGUCUCUUGACCAGAGGAGCGGGCCGCAAACCAGUUGAGUAGACGGAUGGAAAAGCAAACCGAGACAUCCUCGGGCGACGGUAAGUGUCAGUGCAAAGUGUUGCCGCUGUUUGCUUUUCACGCGGAGUGACAAAUUACUUGUGCAAAGCCAUUAACGGGGGCUGCACCCAGGCUGUUUAUCUUUGCAUGGGACUCUGUCACUGUCACUCCCAUUCACACGCCGGCUAUCUGCUUAUCUUUCACUCUCACACCCCCCCCAGCCCUCUUCUGUCAUGAACUCAUUCAGUCAUUUCUCAUUACCUAUCGCUCCUCCAUCUCAUCUUCAUCCUUGCUUUUCUUUUCUGUCUCCUCUGUUUCACCCAAAACAACAACAAGCUGGUGUAGUUUGGGAUAGUGCGGAAACAUUUCACAGCAUUAGAGGCGACGUGGAGUUCAGCCUCUCGGCCUGUUGGCAGCCAGAGGGGACAGGUGCAUGCUGGUCUGUCGGCAGCGUGAGGUAGAGAAAGAGGUGCCUCGUCACUGUGGAGGCUCAAGUGCCCGAUGGGUGCAAAAUCAACCCCUCCUCCUCCUCCUCGUCUAGCUUUGAUCCUGACCUUGACAAAAAGAGCAUCUGGACGUUCUCACACAGAGUGGCUUGUAAUAACCACCAAUCACCCUCUUAAUGAUGCAAGUAAAAUGUGUUUGACCUGGUGGGUUCAAAUGUUUUGUUGUUAUUCUGUCAGUGGGCCAGACCUGCUGCGUAAUAAACACCUCAGACACAUUAUGUAAAGGAUCACGAGGCGAAGAGCUCAGACUUCAAUUGAUUUUAUGCUUUCUGGGGAAAAUAGUUCUCAGCUUGAAAACCACUGAGUUUAAUGUCACUUUUUAGAUUACUGCUGGAUAUUGAGUAACCAGUUGUGUUGGCAUCUCCUCCGGCUUAUUGUUUGUCGAGCAGAAUUGUUUUUUGGGGGGAAAUAUUCUUAUUUGCUUUCUUGCCGAGGAUUAGAUGAGAAGAUUGAUAACUCAUGUAUAUGAAGCUACAGCGGGGAGUUGUUUAGCUUAGUUUAGCUUAUCACAAGGACUGGAAGCAACAGGGAAACGGCAAACCUGGCAGGGUGCAGUUACUACGUCACUUUAAUUUGACAAAGAAUUUAAAAAAUAUUUAGAAUCAGCUUUAUUAAGAUUUUACUCUGUUUUUUAAAUCCCUG